rnacentral:rRNA from 1 species
UACGGAAGGUCCGGGCGUUAUCCGGAUUUAUUGGGUUUAAAGGGAGCGUAGGCCGGAGAUUAAGCGUGUUGUGAAAUGUAGAUGCUCAACCUCUGAACUGCAGCGCGAACUGGUUUCCUUGAGUACGCACAAAGUGGGCGGAAUUCGUGGUGUAGCGGUGAAAUGCUUAGAUAUCACGAAGAACUCCGAUUGCGAAGGCAGCUCACUGGAGCGCAACUGACGCUGAAGCUCGAAAGUGCGGGUAUCGAACAGG